rnacentral:rRNA from 1 species
AUUGAACGCUGGCGGCAGGCCUAACACAUGCAAGUCGAACGAGUGGCGGACGGGUGAGUAAUGUCUGGGAAACUGCCUGAUGGACGGGGAUAACUACUGGAAACGGUAGCUAAUACCGCAUACCAUCGGAUGUGCCCAGAUGGGAUUAGCUAGUAGGUGGGGUAAAGGCUCACCUAGGCGACGAUCCCUAGCUGGUCUGUGAGGAUGACGAGUGACACUGGAAGUGAGACACGCUCCAGAUUCCAACGUGGGGCAGCAGUGGUGAACAUUUCACAAUGGGCGCGAGCCGUAGGCAGCCGAGCCGCGUGUACGAAGAAGGCCUUCGGGUUGUAAAGUAAUUUCAGCGGGGAGGCGUGACCCGCAGAAGAAGCAGCGGCUAACUCCGUGCCAGCCGCCGCGGUAAUAC